rnacentral:lncRNA from 1 species
GGGAGGGGGAAGGGAUAGCAUUGGGAGAUAUACCUAAUGCUAGAUGACGAGUUAGUGGGUGCAGCGCACCAGCAUGGCACAUGUAUACAUAUGUAACUAACCUGCACAAUGUACACAUGUACCCUAAAACUUAAAGUAUAAUAAUAAAUAAAUAAAAAAAAAAGAGAGAACCACCAAAGCAAAAAAAAAAAAAAAAAAAAAGGGAAGGAGGUCCAUUCUUUCAAAGGCAGUUCUUAUGCUCUCCUUUCUACCUUGACUGAGAGAACACUUGGACUCUUCCUCAGCUGGUGGGUACCGAACUAGGAUGUGUGGGGACUCAGUUGGGUUGGGGCAGCAGAACAAUGUCCUGAAAAUAGGAGCCUCAGGUUUGGAAAUUUGCUGAAAAUUCCCAGGUUGCUGGUAGGCAGGCUCCUGAUGAGAUUGGAGACGCCCAGCCACCUUCUCAGGAUCAGACUUGUGUUAUUCAUGCUCAGGACUCAUGGUGUCAGGGCCAUCACUGGUCCAUAGUGGCCAACUGUGUGCAGUAGGAAGACUCCCUCGAGGGCAACUCUGCCCCCACACAUGGUCUAGUUGGCCCGUGAAGUUCUCCCACAGCUAACACUCAAGUUAGCAAGAUGGCAGCUCCUUUUCUCUACAGUAACGGCCUCCUGUGCUGGAGGCAAGGCCAAUGACAGCAACAGCCAACACCAUGAUUGGAACUGGCUUUCAGAGUGUAGGCUCUGCCUCAUGUCAUCUUUUUCACUGAACCUUCUCAGGCUGAGAGGGGUGAAGAGGUUAUUUAUUUCCUGAAGCUUACCCAGAUCCCAUUGAAGGGGAGGUUGCCUCAGUUUCUCCCUUUAUUGUACCUAACAUUUGGACUCUAGUUUGAGGAAGGAGAGGAUAUGGGAAGGAAGUGUAGACCAUGGAGGGAGGGAUGUAAGGAAGCCCAUAUGAAGACCAAGGAUGCCUUUGGACAGAACUUUGGGGUCAGCAGCCUCUCUCAUCCCCCCUCACAAACCUUGGUUCCUUGUGUCACUCUAGGCAGGAAAAAUACCCAGGAGGAGGCUAGUAUCAGAAGCUAGAGCCUCAGUAAGGCACAGAUUCAGCUGGGGCAGCAGUUUAGGCAUGAAAAUCUCAUGAAAAUCAUGUUAAACCAAAAACAUGCUUUAAUGCCAGGCAAGAGCUACACAGUCAACUGAUUUACGGGCCACUCCAUAGGCUAUGAUUUAUAAAUUAUAUAUUAUUAAAUCCACCGUGGGCAUACAGAUGGGAUGGGACAGCACCCCCAGCUCCCUCCCACUCUGAAUGAUGUAUGAACAGUUGAGCACUCUGUAGAAUCCUUCAGGUCGUAAGCCACUUUAUUCCAGUCCCUUGAACAUCACAGGACUGGAUGGGUUUCCCUUCUUUUGCCCCAACCCCCGAGUCUUACGUUUUAGAACAGAGACAUUAGAAUAAAAAA